UUUCACUUUCAAUACCGACUGCUUUGGUCGGGCUCCCCCUGCCCGGUCUUUUAUACCACCUGUGAGUGAAUAAACUCUAGAAUUGGGCAGAAGGGUAGCGAGGCAGCACCUGAUCCCACACUCAGUUCCCCGGGGUCUGGCAGGGGUCUCUGGGGUGAAUCCCACUCCCGCUGGGUUUCCUUCUACUAUUUUAAACCAUAUUAAGAUGCAGGUGCAGUCAGAUGGAAGCUGGAGCUGGAGUCAUCUCAAAGAUGAAUUUACCUCCACGUCGGGGAAGCCUGCUGCAUGAGAUGAAGAAGCUGGAGCUCAGAGGAUUGAAGUGAUUUGCAAGAAAUGGUGGAGUUAACACCUGGAUCUGGGUCCUCUGUCGUAAAAAAUCUAUGCUUUAUCCAUUAUGUCUCACUGCCACUGGGAGUCUUUUCUAGUCCAAGGUGAAAGCAAACCAAUUGGGAUCUUCCGGGUCUGGAGAGGCCCACUUCUCAUGGCCUUAGUGAGCCCACCAGCUGGAGUUGGUGAUGGGUGUUCGUGCAGUGUCCUUGUCUGCUGGCCUCUCCUGGGGGUCUCCAUCAAGAUUCUUUGCCAGAAGCUCGGAAUAGACUUACAGACAGUGAAGGGGAAGUCAACACAUAUGCAUACUUGAUGUGGAACAAGAUACGAUGGUGUGGAGCCAAGAUGAGAUGAGUAGAAACAAACAUUCACAUAAAAAUGCACAAGAUUUGCUGCAAGUGGCGUUUUAGUUUGUAUAGUUGUACCAGAAAUAACACUUGGUUGCAUGUCAAAAUACCAAUCAUCCAGCUUCAGUUUUUAUUUUUAAUUGAAGACAAAGACUUAGAAACCAACUGAAGUGCUAAAUCUGUUUCAAUUAACCUCAAAAGGCCCAAGUUAAUAGAUAUUUCUGGCUGAAUAAGUUGACUUUCUCUAUGCUUUAUGUGUGUGUGUGUGUGUGUGUGUUUUGCAAACUUUUGAGGAGAGCUUUUUUUUUCUCAAGCUGCUAGACAUAUAUUAAUUAAAUAUAUAAAAUAUAAAAUAAUUACUCUAUUUUUGGGGCCUUGAUUUUUGAUUCCUCAGUGUGAGGUAUUUCAUUGAAGCUGACCCUUCAAGAACAUUAUAAGUGGGAUUUCUAAAAGUGAUGGAUUCUCUCAGUCGUGAAGGAGUAAAUACGUAGUUAAGAUAGAUGGUAAAUCAUUUCAGGCCUCUUAGCACACACAAAGAAAUAAUUUGCUAAAGAGAGAACUGAAGCAUUGUAAAUAGCCGGGGAUCAGCCUCAAAGACCCCCUGGAAGUUCACGCGUGCAGAUGACUAGGAGGUUAGCCACCUGGAACUUAUUAAACCUGUUCUCAUUGGUUGGCUCCAGCUAUUUACUUCGGAGCACAGCUUAACUUGAUGGUUACUCAGGCUGGGACCUGCUUGCUUUUGUGACUUGAUCUAGGGCUGGUGAACAUGUUAACACAUGUUGACAGGGUUACAAAUAUUAAAUUCUUCGGUGGAACUUAAAAAGCAAAUCUAGGGAAACAGUGGGUGGGGCCCUUGCAGAUGGUAGUCACCUUGCUGGUUCCCUUUGCUCACCUCUGGUACUGAUAUGCCCUCUGAAAUGUCACUGAGCAUGAGACGGACUGCUUGAACAUAGAGCCUAAUCCCUUUGUGGCUGAACUUUCGGAGACAGUUGUACGUAGUCUGUCACACUGGGUAGGGGGUUAGAGGUCAUUUACUUGGGUGUAAGUGACCACCCAGGGUCAAUUUGGGGCUUUUGACAUUUGGGGCCAGAAAAACUUUUUCUGUGAAAUGUUCCUGUGCAGGAGAAACAGCACCCUGCCCUGGCCCCUAACAUCAUUAAUGCAUCUGCUGCAGUUACUGUGACAUUUCCAAAUACGGUGGGGAGAGGAGUAGAGGGUCAUAGGACUUUCAGCUGACAAUGCUGUGUAGAGAGAGGACA